GAUUAGCUGUAUUAAGAAAGAACGAAAGAAAGGUAAAUUACACACUGAUGUUAUUUAAAAUGUAAACUCAUUCACUGCAUCUGAAUUAAGUAUGUACCAACUUCGGCCAUAGGAAGCAAAAUGAUCUUUUUCACUCAAGCAGCAUAAAGAACCCUAGAAUAUGGGGUUACAGGAAAAGUGUCUGUGGUUUUGAAGUUGUAGGUGGAACCAGCUGAGAACUCACUGACUCUGGAACAGGGUUACUUCAGUUAUUCUCAGAAGUUAGAGCAAUACCGCAAGGUGCUGCCUCCUGAAGAUUCAGUAUACAUGUUGAGUGAAGUCUUAUGGCACUUAAAUCUGCUCUUGUUUAUUAUAAGAUGAAAAGUAAAUUGUUUCCUCAGCAAUAUGUUUAUAAUGCAAUCAGCUUCAAUUGCUUUUUUCAGGAGAGUUUUCAGUAUUUCACUGGACUGUGGUUUUCAUCCAAUUAAAACAAAAUGUUGAUGCAAACCAAAAUUACAUAUUGAAGUGUUAUGACAAUAAAAGAUGAGCUGUUUUCUGUUCCGCACAAUAUUGUUAAUACUCUUACCUUGUAUAAAUGCAGUCUAGAUUUUGCAUCAGCCAGCAAAAGUAUCUGAGUGCAACUUGACUAAAACAGAAGAAGGAUCUGAACAAGGAUCCUUUUAAAAACACAUAUAUAACUAAAAAACAGUUUACCAUUUGUUUCAGGGAGCUCUCUGUAUCCAACAUCAUUUUUAUCUACAGGCACAACCAGACCUGCUCCAUGAAAUGUCUUAGUCACUACCUGAAUAAAGGAAAGAAAAAUGGUAUAUCACGAGGUGUUGACAGCCCUUGCAGUUGUGAGUGCUCCUGAAAAUGAGGCCCUAAGUGUCUCAGGCUGAUUAUCCAGAAAAAUGAAGAACACACAACUGGUGUGUAACCUGACAAAAUUUUUAUUUAAGUGACUUGCUCAUCAUAUGAAGUUGAUGGCAGAUGCAAGGCCAGAACUGAAUUUUCUUAUACUGCACUCACCUGCCUUAGCCACCGGAGAGUGGCAGCUUUUGUUGCUUCUGGAGGCUGAGCACAUCGUACACCCCAGAGGCUCCUUCCGUUCCUCCAACACCCAUCUCCCUCCUCCCUGUAACCCCCUCAUCCUUCCCCACACGCCAGCAGUUCUGUUACCCGUUCUCCUCCUCCCCUCAUACCAGGGUCCUUCCCCAUUCUCCUCUCUGCCACAUGCUAGGGGCUGUGUCCCCUUUCUCCCUCCAUGCCAGGGGUUCUGGCUGCACCAUCCAUUGCCUCCCACCGCCAUUAUUAUUCUUUGUCCGACAGACAAGUCAUUCAAGAUGUCACUAUUUUAUAACUGCAUUGGCAGGAAAGGCAAGCUGAGAUAGGGUAUUCUUAUGCUGGAAGGUGUUAAUGGAUGCCACCAACUGGUUUGUUUUAUCUGUAGACACAGAGGUGGUUGAAGCUGCUGGGUCUGAUAACCAGAUGUCAGGGCACCACAUGUCCCCCAUUUUCCCUUUCAGCUUCCCACUUUAGUAGGGUUCUGCUCAUCAAUACAUAAAACAUUCAAUUCUGAAAUUUCAGAAUUGAUCAGAUGUGGCAUUCAAAAGUUAACACACUACAGCCAAAAGCCACUGAGCUCUCAUUUUGCUCAGCCAACAAAACUAUCCUGUCUCUUCCUGCAGUCCUCUGCCUCAUCCUCUGUACUUGUUCUAACUUCUAGAGUUAAUGAGGCAGGAGACAGACAGACAGCCUCAUUCAGUACAUAACCGAGAUUCAGUCCCUGAGCUCCAGUUAUCCUGUGCACUUAGUAAGGCAGAAUUUGUGUGGGGGGAAAAUAUAGAUAAUACAUGAUCAUGUAGAGACAGUAUCAUGAUGCUCACAAAGGGGCCAAAUUAAGGUUGUGAAUGCAACCUUCAUUUUGGCAUUAUCUCCCCUGAGUGCUUGAUUGUGCAACCUAAAAGAAUUUUUUUUUUUUUAAAAUGUAGUUUUUGAAUGUAGCUUCCUUUAAAAGGAAAUGAAAUGCAAAUUCUAUCAUGCACAACUGUAAAAAUUCUGCCAUUAUGCAUUGCCACUAAGGUUUGAACCAUGGAUGUUCAGCACUGCGGCACAGACUUCUACAACUUGAGCUAUGGGACUUUAUUAGCUGAAAGCAGGAGAAGGCUAUUUUCAAUGAACCUGCCAUUACAUAAGGUAGAGAUAGACACUCUUGGUUUAGUAAAAUGUUCUGCAUAUGAAUUCCUUUCACCAUUGUGUUUCAUCCCCCUUCAAAAGUUCAUUUCAAAAUGCAACCUGCAGUCAUUCUGACAAGCAAUUUUUAUUUUUUUUAAAUCAUGGCUUCUGUUAAUGCCUCUAUCAUCAUUUUCUACUGAAAUGCUCUGUUCCUACAGAAACAACACACUGGAUUUUAAAAAGAAAAGCAACCCCAGCUAUUUUAGUACAACCACAAAGUUCAAGGCUGAUCAGCCAAUUUACUCUGGGUCUAGUAAUCUUAUGAAAGAUACCAAUCUUUGUAGAUGUUUCUCUAGUAUUAUUUUCAAAGUCAAAAACCCACAGAGGUGGGUGGGUGUGUGUGAGAGACACAGAAGAACAGAAGUAAAGGUAUUUCACAUUAGUACUUUUUUGUAGCUUAGAGGAAAACUAAUUGCAUUUAGUUAUGAAACAGAAGUUGUAAACCUUACUUGACUGCAGCAAAUACAUUGUCACCAAUUUGAGAAAUUACACAGCUUUUCUUUGCUUCAUUUGCACCAACCCAUGCUGGAAGUUCGUCUGGCACAUCCCUAUAAAACAAAAUGUAUACAGACACUAGGGUUUUUCUCUUUAAAGUGAAGUUAGCAUGCACAAGAGAUGCUGAAUGGAGUACUGGAGCCUGAAGUCUUACGUUUAUCACUGGACAGUUAAAAGCACAGGCAACAACAAUGUGAACCUCCCCUUACUUCCAUGCGCCUUUGUAGCCCCCCCCCCCCGCACCACACACACACACACACACUUCAGUCUCCAAUCUUUGCCUCUCAGAGAAUGCCACUUAGAAUAACGAUUAAUUAGUCACUGCAAACAGCAGAGACCACCAAGAGCAUAAAUUCAGUAUUGAAUCACACUAGAUUCACAUGCACAACUUUAAGUAUUUGAAUACAGAAUAAUUAUACCAGAGCCACUUCUUUAGCUGGAGCAGCAGAGAGAUCUUGACAAGAAGUGGCUCUGUGCAGAAGAAAUAAGGCAGAAGCAUAUAUUUCCAGAGUUGCUGGGUACACUCAAGUAUAGAAAAGGAAAAACAAAAACACACAGUUCUCUUCCCCAUUAUCCAACCCCAGCAGCAGAUAACCAUUUGCACCAGAACAUCAUGGCAAUAAUUAAAAACAUCAUUACAAUUAAAACAGGGUUUGUUUGGGUUUUAGAUAGUCUUUAACACUCAUCACCAGUCCUUUCAAUACAUUUUGCCCUAUAAUGUUAACUACUAAAAAUGACAACUAAAGUGUCAUCUAUCUGAUGGAAGGGGGUAAGAAGUAGAGGUUCUAUCAUUUGACAACAGCGCAGAGUUCUUACACUACACACAUAAAUGGAAAUGGAGAAAAAGAUACACACAUUUAUUAUAGGAGGACCAUAUAUAAAAUGUAAUACCUGAAAUAUCCCAUGUGAUAUUGAGUUUUGCUAUCCCCAGCAAUUAUAGUCUGAAAUUCAGGAGGGUCAUAAAAAAACCUCCAGUGAAGGUUGAAGUUCAGAUCUGCUGAUUUUGUUUUUUUGUGUUUUCCAGCAAGAAUAUCAUAUGGUCCAACUAGCU